GGGUGGACCUCAGGUCUCCGGGCUCGGCGGCUGCACGUGCCUUUCGCCCCGUCCCGGGCCCGGGCACUGUCUCCGAAGCGCCCACGCAAGCUGACCUUGAAGUAGUUGGAGUCUCCUCCCGCCGUCUGCGGUUUCACGGCGGACACUUGACUGCUGCUCAGCCUCGGCGGGACGAACAGUGUGAAGGGCUUUUGCUUCUCCAUGCUGCCUCCUGGGCCUCGGGGGAAGGGAAGAGGUCACACGGCUGGGUGAGGCCGAAGUACAGUGAGCCAGGUCCCUCAGAGGGGCCCAGCGUCCGUGUCACCCUGCGGCGCGUGUGGCCUGCACGGUGAAAGCCUGCACGGCCGCACCAUCUCUCCACUCCAGCCGGCCACGCGACCACGGGCCCAGCCCGAACCUCGAAGGCCGCCCGCGACUGCCUGAGGCCCAGGGCCCGGGGCCUCCCUGGCCCGCGAAGCCCGCGAAGCCAAGCACCUGGACACGCGUGACAGAGGUGUGUACGUGGGCCCCAGGCCCCGACACCCUCCACACCCUCACCGUUGUCAGGCUCCGCGGCCCGUGGCCCCGCGUGCGCUCCUUUAUGAAGACGACAUGGAACGGAACCGUGAGCUUCCCCUCAGAACCUCCUGGAAGCCCGAGAACUCGCGGGACUGGGAGGCUGGCCGCGACCGGCUCAAUUUAACGGUUGGUCCAGCUGGCCGGGAUCUCGCGCGCAGCACUUCUCGCGAGAUUUCCCUUCCCACGUGCCGGGUUCUCUACCAAGUCUGCGCUCAAAAUUGUCGGAGGAUGCUGGGAAAGCCCCCCCCCAACCCCCUCGUUGGUGUAUAGCCAUUUAAAGGCGUCUCAGUGC
rnacentral:lncRNA from 1 species